rnacentral:rRNA from 1 species
UGAGCAAUCUGCCCUUCUCUUCGGAAUAAGCGUGGGAAACCGCGUCUAAUGCCGAAUACGACCUCCUUUCGCAUGAUCGGAGGUGGAAAGCUCCGGCGGAGAAGGAUGAGCUCGCGGCCUAUCAGCUAGUUGGUGUGGGUAAUGGCCCACCAAGGCGACGACGGGUAGCCGGCCUGAGAGGGUGACCGGCCACACUGGGACUGAGACACGGCCCAGACUCCGUACGGGAGGNAGCG